GCCAUCUUAGCUCAGUGGUAGAGCACGUGGCUUUUAACCACGUGGUCGUGGGUUUGAUUCCCCACAGAUGGCG